rnacentral:rRNA from 1 species
CCUACGGGAGGCAGCAGUGGGGAAUAUUGGACAAUGGGGGGAACCCUGAUCCAGCCAUGCCGCGUGUGUGAAGAAGGCCCUCGGGUUGUAAAGCACUUUCAGUGAGGAAGAACGCCUGGUGGUUAAUACCCAUCAGGAAAGACAUCACUCACAGAAGAAGCACCGGCUAACUCCGUGCCAGCAGCCGCGGUAAUACGGAGGGUGCGAGCGUUAAUCGGAAUUACUGGGCGUAAAGCGCGCGUAGGUGGCUUGAUAAGCCGGUUGUGAAAGCCCCGGGCUCAACCCGGGAACGGCAUCCGGAACUGUCAAGCUAGAGUGCAGGAGAGGAAGGUAGAAUUCCCGGUGUAGCGGUGAAAUGCGUAGAGAUCGGGAGGAAUACCAGUGGCGAAGGCGGCCUUCUGGACUGACACUGACACUGAGGUGCGAAAGCGUGGGUAGCAAACAGGAUUAGAUACCCUGGUAGUC